rnacentral:rRNA from 1 species
UAUUGGUCAAUGGGCGAGAGCCUGAACCAGCCAAGUCGCGUGAAGGGGGAAGGAUCUAUGGUUUGUAAACUUCUUUUAUAUGGGAAUAAAGUGAGGAACGUGUUCCUUUUUGUAUGUACCAUAUGAAUAAGCAUCGGCUAACUCCGUGCAAGCAGCCGCGGUAAUACGGAUGAUGCGAGCGUUAUCCGGAUUUAUUGGGUUUAAAGGGGGAGUAGGUGGUUAAUUAAGUCAGCGGUGAAAGUUUGUGGCUCAACCAUAAAAUUGCCGUUGAAACUGGUUGACUUGAGUAUAUUUGAGGUAGGCGGAAUGCGUGGUGUAGCGGUGAAAUGCAUAGAUAUCACGCAGAACUCCGAUUGCGAAGGCAGCUUACUAAACUAUAACUGACACUGAAGCACGAAAGCGUGGGGAUCAAACAGGAU